GAUGAAGAACGUAGCGAAAUGCGAUAAGUAGUGUGAAUUGCAGAAUACAGUGAAUCAUCGAAUCUUUGAACGCACAUUGCGCCCCUUGGUAUCCCGAGGGGCAUGCCUGUUCGAGCGUCAUUUCACCACUCAAGCCUGGCUUGGUGUUGGGCGACGUCCUCUUUGGGGACGCGCCUCGAAACGCUCGGCGGCGUGGCACCGGCUUUAAGCGUAGCAGAAUCUUUCGCUUUGGAAGUCGGGGCCCCGUCUGCCGGAAGACCUGCUCGCAAGGUUGACCUCGGAUCAGGCAGGGAUACCCGCUGAACUUAAGCAUAUCAAUAAGCGGAGGA
rnacentral:misc_RNA from 1 species